GACCACAGCCACGCCGCGUGUGUGAUGAAGGCUCCGGGUCGUAAAGCACUGUGGGGAGAGACGAAACAGCGCAUCAGGAAACGGGUGCGCCUUGACGGUACCUCCUUAGCAAGCACCGGCUAACUCUGUGCCAGCAGCCGCGGUAAUACAGAGGGUGCAAACGUNGCUCGGAGUUUACUGGGCGUAAAGCGCGUGUAGGCGGAYUCGCAAGUCGGUUGUGAAAUCCCUGGGCUCAACCUAGGAACUGCAUCCGAAACUGCUUGUCUUGAGUAAUGGAGAGGGUGGCGGAAUUCCCGGUGUAGAGGUGAAAUUCGUAGAUAUCGGGAGGAACACCAGUGGCGAAGGCGGCUACCUGGACAUUNACUGACGCUGAGACGCGAAAGCGUGGGGWKUAAACAGGAUUAGAUACCCUGGUAGUCCACGCCGUAAACGAUGAGAACUAGGUGCAGCGAUAUUGACCUCUGCUGUGCCG
rnacentral:rRNA from 1 species